rnacentral:rRNA from 1 species
UAGUGAGUUUGAUCCUGGCUCAGGAUGAACGCUGGCGGUAUGCUUAACACAUGCAAGUCGAACGGAAUACUUUCGGGUAUUUAGUGGCGGACGGGUGAGUAACGCGUGAGAACCUGCCUGAAAGACGGGGACAACAGUUGGAAACGACUGCUAAUACCCGAUAAGCCGAAAGGUGAAAGAUUAAUCGCUUUGAGAGGGGGCUCGCGUCCGAUUAGCUAGUUGGUGAGGUAAAGGCUUACCAAGGCAGCGAUCGGUAGCUGGUCUGAGAGGACGAGCAGCCACACUGGGACUGAGACACGGCCCAGACUCCUACGGGGAGGCAGCAGUGGGGAAUCUUAGACAAUGGGGGCAACCCUGAUCUAGCCAUGCCGCGUGAGUGAUGAAGGUCCCUUAAGGGGUUGUAAACGCUCUUUCAAGCUGGAAGAUAACUGACGGUACCAGCAGAACGAACG